CAGAACAGAGGUCAGGGGUCAGGAGUUGUUCUAGACAGUAGAUAUGAGGUCUGUUCCCUCUCUCCCCCUCCACCACCACACUGUAACUACAGAACAGAGGUCAGGGGUCAGGAGUUGUUCUAGACAGUAGAUAUGAGGUCUGUUCCCUCUCUCCCCCUCCACCACCACGCUGUAACUACAGAACAGAGGUCAGGGGUCAGGAGUUGUUCUAGACAGUAGAUAUGAGGUCUGUUCCCUCUCUCCCCCUCCACCACCACGCUGUAACUACAGAACAGAGGUCAGGGGUCAGGAGUUGUUCUAGACAGUAGAUAUGAGGUCUGUUCCCUCUCUCCCCCUCCACCACCACGCUGUAACUACAGAACAGAGGUCAG